UACGUAGGGGGCAAGCGUUGUCCGGAUUUAUUGGGCGUAAAGCGCUCGCAGGCGGCCUGAUGCGUCGUGCGUGAAACACCCCGGCUCAACUGGGGAGGGUCGUGCGAUACGGUCAGGCUCGAGGCCAGUAGGGGGAUGCGGAAUUCCUGGUGUAGCGGUGGAAUGCGCAGAUAUCAGGAGGAACACCGAUGGCGAAGGCAGCUCGCUGGGACGGUACUGACGCUGAGGCGCGAAAGCGUGGGGAGCGAACAGG
rnacentral:rRNA from 1 species